rnacentral:rRNA from 1 species
UACGGAGGGUGCAAGCGUUGUCCGGAAUCACUGGGCGUAAAGGGCGCGUAGGCGGCUCAUGAAGGCUGUGGUGAAAGUCCGGGGCUCAACCUCGGAUCGGCCGUGGCGACUCGUGGGCUGGAGCACUGUAGAGGCGGGUGGAAUUCCGAGUGUAGCGGUGGAAUGCGUAGAGAUCCGGGAGAACACCAGUGGCGAAGGCGGCCCGCUGGGCAGUGGCUGACGCUGAGGCGCGACAGCGUGGGGAGCAAACAGG